rnacentral:rRNA from 1 species
UCAAGAAACUUCCACAAUGGGCGAAAGCCUGAUGGAGCGACGUCGCGUGAUGGACGAAGUGCUUCGGCACGUAAACAUCUUUUUAUGUGGGAUGAAAUUAUUGACAGUACCACAUGAAUAAGGGGCUCCUAACUCUGUGCCAGCAGGAGCGGUAAUACAGAGGCCCCAAGCGUUAUCCGGAAUCACUGGGCGUAAAGGGUGUCGAGGCGGUUGUAUUAGUCGUUCGUAAAAUCUACGAGCUUAACUUGUAGGCGGCGAACGAAACGGUACGACUUGAGGUUUGGAGAGGUGCGUGGAACUCACGGUGUAGGGGUGAAAUCCGUUGAUAUCGUGGGGACCACCAAAGGCGAAGGCAGCGCACUGGCCAAAAUCUGACGCUCACACACGAAAGCUAGGGUAGCGAAGAGGAUUAGAUACCCAAGUAGUCCCUGAGCGGGCUGGCAAGGCGCAU